GCUGCUGUCUAUCAUGCAGUCGAGCGGACAGAUGGGAGCUUGCUCCCUGAUGUUAGCGGCGGACGGGUGAGUAACACGUGGGUAACCUGCCUGUAAGACUGGGAUAACUCCGGGAAACCGGGGCUAAUACCGGAUGGUUGUCUGAACCGCAUGGUUCAGACAUAAAAGGUGGCUUCGGCUACCACUUACAGAUGGACCCGCGGCGCAUUAGCUAGUUGGUGAGGUAACGGCUCACCAAGGCGACGAUGCGUAGCCGACCUGAGAGGGUGAUCGGCCACACUGGGACUGAGACACGGCCCAGACUCCUACGGGAGGCAGCAGUAGGGAAUCUUCCGCAAUGGACGAAAGUCUGACGGAGCAACGCCGCGUGAGUGAUGAAGGUUUUCGGAUCGUAAAGCUCUGUUGUUAGGGAAGAACAAGUGCCGUUCAAAUAGGGCGGCACCUUGACGGUACCUAACCAGAAAGCCACGGCUAACUACGUGCCAGCAGCCGCGGUAAUACGUAGGUGGCAAGCGUUGUCCGGAAUUAUUGGGCGUAAAGGGCUCGCAGGCGGUUUCUUAAGUCUGAUGUGAAAGCCCCCGGCUCAACCGGGGAGGGUCAUUGGAAACUGGGGAACUUGAGUGCAGAAGAGGAGAGUGGAAUUCCACGUGUAGCGGUGAAAUGCGUAGAGAAUGUGGAGGAACACCAGUGGCGAAGGCGACUCUCUGGUCUGUAACUGACGCUGAGGAGCGAAAGCGUGGGGAGCGAACAGGAUUAGAUACCCUGGUAGUCCACGCCGUAAACGAUGAGUGCUAGUGGUUAGGGGGUUUCCGCCCCUUAGUGCUGCAGCUAACGCAUUAAGCACUCCGCCUGGGGGAGUACGGUCGCAAGACUGAAACUCAAAGGAAUUGACGGGGGCCCGCACAAGCGGGGGAGCAUGGGGGUUAAUUCGAAGCAACGCGAAGAACCUUACCAGGUCUUGAAUCCUCUGAAAUCCCUAGAGAUAGGACGUCCCUUCGGGGGCAAAGUGAAGGGGGGGGAUGGUUGCCCCAGCUCGGGCCGAGAAAUUUGGGUAAACCCCGACAGAGCGACCCUUGAUUUAUUUUG
rnacentral:rRNA from 1 species